AACUAUCCAUUAUCUUUUUUAAUUCUAAAAUAAAUUUAAAUUUUUUUAAAAAAAGCCUCUCGCAGACACAGAAGCGCGUGCAGAGAGGCUAGUUAAUGUUAAGAAUAAAUAUAUGACUAAAUAUUUCUAAAAUAUAUGCAUAGUGGGGUCUUCAUAAUUCAAUGAUUUGCGGCUAGGUUCAUAGCGACUUUAAGCAUCAACUUUUAGAGAUAAAAGUCAGUGGCGAUAACAUUUUUAAUAAUGAACUUAGCUACCAUUGGGUGCUGAUGCAAAUAUAAAAGUGGUUCUUUGUGGUAGAAAUUAAGGAAAAAAAAAAAAAAAAAAACUAAUCAGGGGUUCUUUGUGGUAG
rnacentral:lncRNA from 1 species